GUACCCGCUGAACUUAAGCAUAUCAAUAAGCGGAGGAAAAGAAACCAACAGGGAUUGCCCUAGUAACGGCGAGUGAAGCGGCAACAGCUCAAAUUUGAAAUCUGGUUCCUUCCGGGGCCCGAGUUGUAAUUUGUAGAGGGUGCUUUGGCGUUGGCCAUGGUCUAAGUUCCUUGGAACAGGACGUCACAGAGGGUGAGAAUCCCGUACGUGGCCGUUGGCCUUCGCCAUGUAAAGCCCCUUCGACGAGUCGAGUUGUUUGGGAAUGCAGCUCUAAAUGGGAGGUAAAUUUCUUCUAAAGCUAAAUAUUGGCCAGAGACCGAUAGCGCACAAGUAGAGUGAUCGAAAGAUGAAAAGCACUUUGGAAAGAGAGUCAAAAAGCACGUGAAAUUGUUGAAAGGGAAGCGCUUGCAGCCAGACUUGCCCGUAGUCGCUCAUCUAGGCUUCUGCCUGGUGCACUCUUCUGCGGGCAGGCCAGCAUCAGUUCAGGCGGUCGGAUAAAGGUCUUGGGAAUGUGGCUCUCUUCGGGGAGUGUUAUAGCCCAGGGCGCAAUGCGACCAGCCUGGACUGAGGUCCGCGCAUCUGCUAGGAUGCUGGCGUAAUGGCUGUAAGCGGCCCGUCUUGAAACACGGACCAAGGAGUCUAACAUCUAUGCGAGUGUUUGGGUGUCAAGCCCGAGCGCGCAAUGAAAGUAAACGGAGGUGGGAACCCGCAAGGGCGCACCAUCGACCGAUCCUGAUGUCUUCGGAUGGAUUUGAGUAAGAGCAUAGCUGUUGGGACCCGAAAGAUGGUGAACUAUGCCUGAAUAGGGUGAAGCCAGAGGAAACUCUGGUGGAGGCUCGCAGCGGUUCUGACGUGCAAAUCGAUCGUCAAAUUUGGGCAUAGGGGCGAAAGACUAAUCGAACUAUCUAGUAGCUGGUUCCUGCCGAAGUUUCCCUCAGGAUAGCAGUAACGUUUUCAGUUUUAUGAGGUAAAGCGAAUGAUUAGAGGCCUGGGGGUUGAAACAACCUUCACCUAUUCUCAAACUUUAAAUAUGUAAGAAGUCCUUGUUACUUAAUUGAACGUGGACAUUUGAAUGUACCGUUACUAGUGGGCCAUUUUUGGUAA
rnacentral:rRNA from 1 species